UACGUAGGGGGCAAGCGUUGUCCGGAUUUAUUGGGCGUAAAGAGCUCGUAGGCGGCUUGGCAAGUCGGGUGUGAAAACUCCAGGCUCAACCUGGAGAUGCCACUCGAGACUGCUAUGGCUAGAGUCCGGUAGGGGACCACGGAAUUCCUGGUGUAGCGGUGAAAUGCGCAGAUAUCUGGAGGAAUACCGGUGGCGAAGGCGGCGAUCCUAGGACCGGCAUUGACGGCCUGAUGAGCGAAAGCUAGGGGAGCAAACGGG
rnacentral:rRNA from 1 species